rnacentral:rRNA from 1 species
UACGGGGGGAGCAAGCGUUGUUCGGAUUUACUGGGCGUAAAGCGCGCGUAGGCGGCUUUGUAAGUUAGAGGUGAAAGCCCGGAGCUUAACUCCGGAACUGCCUUUAAGACUGCAUCGCUAGAAUUGUGGAGAGGUGAGUGGAAUUCCGAGUGUAGAGGUGAAAUUCGUAGAUAUUCGGAAGAACACCAGUGGCGAAGGCGACUCACUGGACACAUAUUGACGCUGAGGUGCGAAAGCGUGGGGAGCAAACAGG